AUGUCAUGUUGCCAUUUGCUUUCUUGCCCUUUCAUUUACCCUGCCUUCAUCUGGAACACCUCGAUAGCCAUUCAAUUUUGCGUAACUUUUUCUUAUUUUAACUCUAGCACUGGCUACUGCCUAGGAAGACAAGGGGCAUGGUGUUGGGUACAUACAGGUACCAGAACAUUCCUGAGGACUCACACCACAGGGAAAGAGGAUAAAAUUCACCCCAAGUGUACCAGUGGAUGAGGAGUACUUAGAAUCAAGAUGUCAAUGUCAAAGAAUUUACCUUUCCCACUAUUGUGAUUUUACUCCUGCUUUCUUCAAAGACAUAAUGGGAAAAUGCUAACCCACAUCAAUCCAGGUCUAAAGAAACCAAUGACAAGUUAUCCCAUUUUCCCGCUACUGAGAGACCUGGGUGAGUGUGGAGGUAGGGGUGGAGGGUGCAAGGGGAUGAACACUGCUAAGUGAGCAAUUUUCAAUUUUCAGUACCAGCCUAAAACCUUCAAGUCACUGAGUGUUCUGAGCUCCUGAAAAAAAAAAUCCCAUUUCUUUGACACUUACCAGUAGCCCAGGCUAUACUCCCAGUGUCAUAGGGGCCAUUAAGUUAUGUCCCAUAGCUCUCAGGAGUGCUGGGUUGCUGGUAACACAGAAAAAAAAACCAUCAAGCACCUGGGUAGUUCUGGGUAGAUGGAGAUCACACUUUGCCACGGCUGAUGCAAAAUAUUAUCUAAAGACUUAUUUGACCUCUGUUUCUCUAUCAGGGUUUACCUUAGGAUCCAGGGUUCUUAGCAUGGAUUUUUUAAAUUGGCUUCACAAGUUCUUAAGCCUUCAGAAUUCUGUGCUUGUGUAGGUCUAUUUUUUUUUCUCUAGAAGAAGAUUCUUAUUCUUAAAGAGGUCCAGAGACUACCACAAUAGUAAGAGUUUUUAAUUUUCAAUACCUACAUAGGUUUGACAUAAGCAGAAAAUUUUAUACCUGUUUCUGUCCUUUUUUCUAGGAGUGUGGGAUACAGAGUAUCUUGGCAACACCACGUGGAGUUGCCACAUUCGAGUUAAAUAUUUUGGUAUUACCACAUAUGUUUCAAAUCAUUAACAUAACAAAUUAAGGACUAUAAUUUUUUGGCAUUUGUUAUUUUAAAAUAGUUCCCAUAGAUCUCUAAAUCAUCCUUUGAUGAAUUUUAGUUUCAUAAUUUAAAAAAAGAUAGUGUUUUCUUAACAGCAUUGUUUGAUAUGAUUCCAGGCCGAUUACCAAAAAGAAGAGUUUGUCUGCAAGAGUCAUUCCAGGAAAGGCUGACCAAUUUUUUAAAGGGCUUUUAAGAUAUUUAAAAAUUUUCAAGUUUCUGUUUAGUUUUUCUUUGUAUUCUCUGCUUAUACAACAACUGACUCUGAUCAGAUUUUAUAGAGAUUUGCAGAGCAGACAUGUAAUUUUUUUUGUCUUCUUAAAUGUAUUAUCGACUAUAGACAUCAAAUUAUUUUUUAACCAAACCAAACACUAACUGCUGAGUCCUGCCAAUUAUUUCACUUUCUCAUAAUGACUCGGUGCACUUGCAGCAUAUUUAAAUAAAACUAAAAGUAGUAAUUUAUUUAUUUUUAUU
rnacentral:lncRNA from 13 species